UGAUGGCUGACGGGACACGGUCUGGAGGAAGCUGUCACCACACUGGUGAUGUGGGUUUUCAUACAGCAACGAGAGACCUUUUAGCGGUUCUCCCUGAGUUUCCAGCUGACUAAUAAGGAGUCUUUAGUUUUAUUUCAUGUCUGCAGGAGUGGAUCCGAAGUCUCUUCAAGGUGGAUGCCGCACUCCAGCUGAAAGAUUAAAUCAUAGAAUCAUAGAAUCAUGGAAUGGUUUGGACUGAAAGGGACCUUAAAGGCUACCCAAGUUCCAACAAGACUGCCAUGGGCAAGGACACCUCUCACUGGAUGAGGUUACUCAAAGCCUCAUCCAACCUGGCCCCAGUGCCUCACCACCCCCAAAGGAAAAUUUUCUUCCUAAUAUCUUAUCUAAAUCUCCCCUCUUUAGCUUAAAACCAUUCGCCCUCAACCUAUCACUACACUCCCUGAUCAACAGCCCCUCCCCAGUUUUUCCGGAGCCCCAUUCAGCACUGGAAGCUGCUGUAAUGUCUCUCCAGAGCCUUCUCUUCUCUAAGCUGUACAAC